rnacentral:rRNA from 1 species
UACAGAGGCCCCCAAGCGUUACUGAGAAUCACUGGGUUUAAAGGGUGCGUAGGUGGCGCGUUAAGUCCGUUGUGAAAUCCCUGGGCUCAACCCCAGGAAUUGCUUCGGAUACUGGCGUGCUUGAGGCUAGUAGGGGUCACUGGAACUGACGGUGGAGCGGUGAAAUGCGUAGAUAUCGUCAGGAACGCCGAUGGUGAAGACAGGUGACUGGGCUAGUUCGUGACACUGAGGCACGAAAGCGUGGGGAGCGAACGGG